rnacentral:piRNA from 1 species
UACAUGAGCAUUCAGCCUGCUGAGGAUCC